rfam:Flavobacteriaceae bacterium TMED212 79039, whole genome shotgun sequence.
UGUUAUAGAAGGAUUAGUUAGACCUUAAUUCAUAACA